CCUACGGGAGGCUGCAGUGAGGAAUAUUGGUCAAUGGACGAGAGUCUGAACCAGCCAAGUAGCGUGAAGGAUGACUGCCCUAUGGGUUGUAAACUUCUUUUAUAUGGGAAUAAAAUGUUCCACGUGUGGGAUUUUGUAUGUACCAUAUGAAUAAGGAUCGGCUAACUCCGUGCCAGCAGCCGCGGUAAUACGGAGGAUCCGAGCGUUAUCCGGAUUUAUUGGGUUUAAAGGGUGCGUAGGUGGAUUGUUAAGUCAGUUGUGAAAUUUUGCGGCUCAACCGUAACAUUGCAGUUGAAACUGGCAGUCUUGAGUACAGUAGAGGUGGGCGGAAUGCGUGGUGUAGCGGUGAAAUGCUUAGAUAUCACGAAGAACUCCGAUUGCGAAGGCAGCUCACUGGACUGCAACUGACACUGAGGCUCGAAAGUGUGGGUAUCAAACAGGAUUAGAUACCCCAGUAGUC
rnacentral:rRNA from 1 species